GACGAACGCUGGCGGCGUGCUUAACACAUGCAAGUCGAGCGGUAAGGCCCUUUCGGGGGUACACGAGCGGCGAACGGGUGAGUAACACGUGGGUGACCUGCCCUCAGCUCUGGGAUAAGCCUGGGAAACUGGGUCUAAUACUGGAUAUGACUCCACGGUGCAUGUCGUGGGGUGGAAAGCCUUGUGCGGCUGAGGAUGGGCCCGCGGCCUAUCAGCUUGUUGGUGGGGUGANGGCCUACCAAGGCGACGACGGGUAGCCGGCCUGAGAGGGCGACCGGCCACACUGGGACUGAGACACGGCCCAGACUCCUACGGGAGGCAGCAGUGGGGAAUCUUGCGCAAUGGGCGAAGGCCUGACGCAGCGACGCCGCGUGAGGGAUGACGGCCU
rnacentral:rRNA from 1 species